CUUGGCAGAGCAGUUUUGAAGCAGAGGAUGAACUCCUACAGCAUGGACACCAACGACAGCCCUCCAAGGGUGACGGCAUUCAUGCAAAACAUUCCAGAGACAGAGAACACUUAUUCGAGUAUAAAUCAUCAUGUCUACACAUGCAUGGAUGAAACUGCUCCCAGUAACAGGUCAACAGAACCCAAGAGCUCUGCUGGGAGGUCUUUGGACAGAAAGGCUUCACUGAUCUUUGUCUCUCUGUGGCUCAUCACUCUGAUCACACUCAUCGUUGGACUGGUCCUCUACUGUGGUCAGAGAUCAGCAAUACAGAGUGAGCUGGAGGCCCUGAAGCAUGGAACAUCUAAGGUGGCAUUCUCGGCUUCUCUGGUGAACCAUACAGAGACAAUUACAUUGGGGCCACACCCUGAGGAUGUCAUCCUGGUCUACAAAUAUGUCACCACCAAUGUUGGAAGUGCUUAUAACGCAUCUUCAGGCAUCUUCACAGUGCCAACAAAGGGCGUCUACUAUUUCAGUUUCACUGCCUUUGGAUGGAGUACGAAUCCUGCUAGAGUCACUCUCUGUUUGAAUCAUGAACUUUUCAUGAGCACCUAUGAUAACAAACCAGGACCGGGGCGUGGCGCAGCGAACAUGAUCACACUGCAGCUAGACAUAGGAGACAUUCUUUACAUAAAGCUUCGGUCAAACGCACAACUCCACGAUAAUGGAAAUUUGUACAAUACUUUCAGUGGCCACCUGCUCUUCCCCAUUUAAUUGACAGGAAAUAACUAAAUGAUUUGAUAAUUAUGUACUGAGGACCAGUUCCACAAGACCCUAGUGUCCCCACUGUGGGCACUGUCCUUUUAAAUGGUAAACGGCAGGCAUUUAUAUAGCGCCUUUAUCCAAAGUGCUGUACAAUUGAUGCUUCUCCAUUCACCCAUUCAUACACACACUCACACACCGACAGCGAUUGGCUGCCAUGCAAGGCUCCGACCAGCUCAUCAGGAGCAUGUGGGGGUUAGGUGUCUUGCUCAGGGACACUUCGACACAGCCUGGGCGGGGGAUCGAACCGGCAACCCUCUGACUGCCAGACGACUGCUCUUACUGCCUGAGCCACGUCGCCCCUCGCCCCACACACUUUUAUAUCUCUUUAUAUCAACAAACAAAAUGUAUUUUGUGGCUCUGCACAUGAAGCUCUGCAGUUGAAAGCCAUUUUAAAUGAAGAAACAUGACAAGUGACCACUGUCAGGACAAAGCACCACCAUAUAAGGGGUAUACAGGAAGGACAAGAUAGCAGACAGCAAGGCUGUUGUGCAUCUGAGCAAUGGUGCCACCGAUAACAAAUUAAAGGGUUCUUAUUUUCAUAAGUUAUUUUUAAGCUUUAAUAUACAUAGUAAAAAUGCUUUGCAAAAGAUUAGGUUACUGGGUCAGUGGAGAAUAUAACCUGUGGACGCUGUAAAACGCAUCUUAACUACUGAGCUGUGACUGCAUGAUUACUCAAAUAAAUUGUACUCAUAUUGCCAA